rnacentral:rRNA from 1 species
ACGAACGCUGGCGGCGUGCUUAACCCCUGCAAGUCGAACGGAAAGGCCCUGCUUUUGUGGGGUGCUCGAGUGGCGAACGGGUGAGUAACACGUGAGUAACCUGCCCUUGACUUUGGGAUAACUUCAGGAAACUGGGGCUAAUACCGGAUAGGAGCUCCUGCUGCAUGGUGGGGGUUGGAAAGUUUCGGCGGUUGGGGAUGGACUCGCGGCUUAUCAGCUUGUUGGUGGGGUAGUGGCUUACCAAGGCUUUGACGGGUAGCUGGCCUGAGAGGGUGACCGGCCACAUUGGGACUGAGAUACGGCCCAGACUCCUACGGGAGGCAGCAGUGGGGAAUAUUGCACAAUGGGCGGAAGCCUGAUGCAGCAACGCCGCGUGCGGGAUGACGGCCUUCGGGUUGUAAACCGCUUUCGCCUGUGACGAAGCGUGAGUGACGGUAAUGGGUAAAGAAGCACCGGCUAACUACGUG